AUUGAACGCUGGCGGCAGGCUUAACACAUGCAAGUCGGGCGGAGAUGAGGUGCUUGCACCUUAUCUUAGCGGCGGACGGGUGAGUAAUGCUUAGGAAUCUGCCUAUUAGUGGGGGACAACAUUCCGAAAGGAAUGCUAAUACCGCAUACGUCCUACGGGAGAAAGCAGGGGAUCUUCGGACCUUGCGCUAAUAGAUGAGCCUAGGUCGGAUUAGCUAGUUGGUGGGGUAAAGGCCUACCAAGGCGACGAUCUGUAGCGGGUCUGAGAGGAUGAUCCGCCACACUGGGACUGAGACACGGCCCAGACUCCUACGGGAGGCAGCAGUGGGGAAUAUUGGACAAUGGGGGGAACCCUGAUCCAGCCAUGCCGCGUGUGUGAAGAAGGCCUUAUGGUUGUAAAGCACUUUAAGCGAGGAGGAGACUACUGAGACUAAUACUCUUGGAUAGUGGACGUUACUCGCCGAAUAAGCACCGGCUAACUCUGUGCCAGCCGCCGCGGUAAAAC
rnacentral:rRNA from 1 species